AGCGAACGCUGGCGGCAGGCCUAACACAUGCAAGUCGAACGAAGUCUUCGGACUUAGUGGCGGACGGGUGAGUAACACGUGGGAACGUGCCUUUAGGUUCGGAAUAACUCAGGGAAACUUGUACUAAUACCGAAUGUGCCCUUCGGGGGAAAGAUUUAUCGCCUUUAGAGCGGCCCGCGCCUGAUUAGCUAGUUGGUGAGGUAAAGGCGCACCAAGGCGACGAUCAGUAGCUGGUCUGAGAGGAUGUUCAGCCACAUUGGGACGGAGACACGGCCCAAACUCCUACGGGAGGCAGCAGUGGGGAAUCUUGCGCAAUGGGCGAAAGCCUGACGCAGCCAUGCCGCGUGAAUGAUGAAGGUCUUAGGAUUGUAAAAUUCUUUCACCGGGGACGAUAAUGACGGUACCCGGAGAAGAAGCCCCGGCUAACUUCGUGCCAGCCGCCGCGGUAACAC
rnacentral:rRNA from 1 species